GGGGCCAUAGCUCAGUUGGUAGAGCGCUUGAAUGGCAUUCAAGAGGUCAGGGGUUCGACUCCCCUUGGCUCCACCA
rnacentral:tRNA from 99 species